rnacentral:lncRNA from 1 species
UUCAAGAUGGAGGAAAAUGAACUGUCCCUGUCCGUGAAGGAACAUACAAUCUAUUGGAAGAUAUAGACCCUGGGAACUCCUGACACCCACUUCAAAAACUGUAUGUAACAAGAACCGAGGGAACAGGAACUCCACACAAGAAAGGGGUCUUUGAGUAAUGCAUCUUAUAAAAUGGCUCUCGAGGGAAAGAUCAUACCAGCUGCAGAUGGGCCUGUUCCAGAGGGCACAAGAUGAGCUGGGAAGCUCAAAUGAUACCUGCAUGUGGAGGUGGAGGCUGAAGAGGAGAGAACCCUGACUCACUUCCCAUCACCUCGCUGCCCCCUCCCCCCUUUAUUUCCCCAAGGCUAAAUAAAUAAUACACUUAAAACGUGAAGCA